CUGACUGAAGGGAAACAUUGUAACGGAGUGGGAUGGCUCUGUGCUCUAUUACGUAGUGGGAUAAAAAUAACUAGCAUAUUUAAGGCUGCAGAGGAAUCCCAGCGCAGGCAUAGGGUGGACAGCCUGCUGCUCGGCAGGAGCUCUCCCUGCCUUUCUCUGCUUGUCUCCCUCCCUCUCGCCCUCUCUCUCCGCACUCCGCUUUCCUCCCGCUCUCCCUCCCUAGCCUAUACGCAGAAGCCCACCAGAUCAGACGGUGUGAUGCAAACGGAAGACCGGUCGGGACUGGGGACCGGGACCCUGCCUAUGGAAGCUUGGCUGGGGCCUUGUAAACACACAGUCCCUUUUGUUUAUUGUCUAUUCCAUUUGCUUUGGCAAUGUAAACAUAUGUUUCCCAUGCCAUUGAAUUGAAUUGAGACAGAGGAGCGCGGCCCAAUGCAAUGCUAUGCACACCAGCACACUGACUGUCUGGUACGGCAUUUUUUCAAACCUGCCCACUGUUGUUCUUUUUAUUUUAUGAACAGUAGCUCUAGCAAACAAGUCUGGAAUUGUUUUGUGGAAUGAAUAGGCACAUCCAAGUCUGUCUACCCGUCUCCUCCAGCAUUAUGCUACGGUAGAGCACCUCUUGUUCUAUACAGCCCAGUCCUGAGCAUCGGUUCUAGCCAAGUUUGACUGAAAUGUUAAGCUUGACUUUGCCUUCAAAAUCUUCAGUUACAAUCCAUAAGAUGUACUUCUCUUGAUACUAAAUGUUCCUUCAAAACAUCCUUGCAGAACUGACAAGCAAGCAUUAACUGUUUUGAUUAAUCCUUUUUAAUCUCUCAACUACCCCGACAAUAACUUCUACCUGAGAUGUCCUCUACACACCUGACUGCAAUGUCUGUGCGGAAAUAAAUAGACAGCAAUCACAAACAGGAAAAGGACUGGGAGAGGAGAAGCAAGUACAGGGAGUGAACAUUUAAUAAACAACGGACAUCAAACAGAACACGGACAGCAUCUGGACAGGAGAAAACAAUAACGACAUCCAUGCUGACACAGGGGAACAAACUGAGGAACAGACAGAUAUAGAUGGGGCAAUCAACAAAGUGAAGGAGUCCAGGGGACUGAACUAGCUGGGGAUGGAAUGCUGCUGGAAACCAUCAAAAUCAAGACAACUACUCUGAUUGGAGACAACAGCUGCCAAGCGCUCAGUGAGUUGUGCAAGGUUUCUAAACUUUAUUUACCCAUCUUUAUACACUUUACACUUAUGUUUGUUGAAUAACAUAUCAAUAACUUGACAUUAAGUACAACUGUGAUGGGUAUACAAUUUUUACUUUCCAGUGACCAAUCCGGUCGUAGCCUUUUUUAAAUAGAAAAUAUUCCUCUGAGAUUAAAUCCUGACAACCUGGAAGAAUGUGGGUUUGGGGGUUUUGUUUGUCAACAACUUCGCAGUCCAAUCGCAGGGGUAAGGACAAGCUAUAGAAAGAUAAUUCCCAUUUGAGGCCACAGUCAAUACUAAGGAAAUACUUUCAAGAGACUGUUGGAGCGGCUGCUGCAGGUAAGAGACUGUUGGAGCUGCUGCUGCAGGUAAGAGACUGUUGGAGCUGCUGCUGCAGGUA